rnacentral:rRNA from 1 species
CACGUAGGGGGCAAGCGUUGUCCGGAUUUAUUGGGCGUAAAGAGCUCGUAGGCGGUUCGGUAAGUCGGGUGUGAAACCUCCAGGCUCAACCUGGAGACGCCACCCGAUACUGCUGUGACUAGAGUCCGGUAGGGGAGCGUGGAAUUCCUGGUGUAGCGGUGAAAUGCGCAGAUAUCAGGAGGAACACCGGUGGCGAAGGCGGUUCUCUGGGCCUUACCUGACGCUGAGGAGCGAAAGCGUGGGGAGCGAACAGG